ACGGAGGGUGCAAGCGUUAUUCGGAAUUACUGGGCGUAAAGCGCGUGUAGGCGGUCCUGCAAGUCUGAUGUGAAAGCCCCGGGCUUAACCCGGGAAGUGCAUUGGAAACUGUGGGACUUGAGUACUGGAGAGGAUGGGGGAAUUCCCGGUGUAGAGGUGAAAUUCGUAGAGAUCGGGAGGAAUAUCAGUGGCGAAGGCGCCCAUCUGGACGGUAACUGACGCUGAGACGCGAAAGCGUGGGGAGCAAACAG
rnacentral:rRNA from 1 species